rnacentral:rRNA from 1 species
GACGAACGCUGGCGGCGUGCUUAACACAUGCAAGUCGAACGGAAAGGCCUUUUCGGAGGUACUCGAGUGGCGAACGGGUGAGUAACACGUGGGUGAUCUGCCCUGCACUCUGGGAUAAGCCUGGGAAACUGGGUCUAAUACCGGAUAGGACCGCACUUUAGUGUGUGUGGUGGAAAGUUUUUUCGGUGUAGGAUGAGCCCGCGGCCUAUCAGCUUGUUGGUGGGGUAAUGGCCUACCAAGGCGGCGACGGGUAGCCGGACUGAGAGGUUGGUCGGCCACAUUGGGACUGGGAUACGGCCCAGACUCCUAAGGGAGGCAGCAGUGGGGAAUAUUGCACAAUGGGCGCAAGCCUGAUGCAGCGACGCCGCGUGGGGGAUGACGGCCUUCGGGUUGUAAACUCCUUUCGCCAGGGACGAAGCGUUUUGUGACGGUACCUGGAGAAGAAGCACCGGCUAACUACGUG